UCCAUCUUCUCCAUUCCCAGCCUAUCCAGGAGCUCUCUCCAGGCACUCACCAGGGAUGGAGAUCUCCAGCUCAACUGCUGCUGCUUCUGAGAGCUGAGACUCUGAGAGCUUUCCCUGUUCAUCCCAGAUCCCUUCCUGCACAGGAAACUACAACUGCUCCAGCCACAUUUUGUUCCCAAGGGAAUGAAUCCUUGCACCAUCUCAGGCACCUGCCAUCACCGAAUAAACCAGGUCUGGGCUUCUGCUGCUCCUGGAGAAAGCCUGGCUGGCUGAACUGACAUCUCUGCUCAAGCCCUUCUGCAGCAUUGUAAAAUGAGAAUAACCAGUAAUACAAUGUAUAUUUAUGCUAUAAUUUCAAUCAUUAAAUAAAAUGUCACUGCAUACACACA